AGCGAACGCUGGCGGCAGGCUUAACACAUGCAAGUCGAGCGGGCCCUUCGGGGUCAGCGGCAGACGGGUGAGUAACACGUGGGAACGUACCCUUUGGUUCGGAAUAACGCUGGGAAACUAGCGCUAAUACCGGAUACGCCCUUUUGGGGAAAGGCUUGCUGCCGAAGGAUCGGCCCGCGUCUGAUUAGCUAGUUGGUGGGGUAAUGGCCUACCAAGGCGACGAUCAGUAGCUGGUCUGAGAGGAUGAUCAGCCACACUGGGACUGAGACACGGCCCAGACUCCUACGGGAGGCAGCAGUGGGGAAUAUUGGACAAUGGGCGCAAGCCUGAUCCAGCCAUGCCGCGCGAGUGAUGAAGGCCUUAGGGUUGUAAAGCUCUUUUGUCCGGGACGAUAAUGACGGUACCGGAAGAAUAAGCCCCGGCUAACUUCGUG
rnacentral:rRNA from 1 species